rnacentral:tRNA from 1 species
GCCGGCGUGGUGGAAUUGGUAGACACGCAGGACUUAAAAUCCUGUGGCCUUUGGCCGUAUCGGUUCAAGUCCGAUCGCCGGUACCA